GAUCCUGGCUCAGAUUGAACGCUGGCGGCAGGCCUAACACAUGCAAGUCGAACGGUAACAGGAAGAAGCUUGCUUCUUUGCUGACGAGUGGCGGACGGGUGAGUAAUGUCUGGGAAACUGCCUGAUGGAGGGGGGAUAACUACUGGAAACGGUAGCUAAUACCGCAUAACGUCGCAAGACCAAAGAGGGGGGACCUUCGGGCCGUCUUGCCAUCGGAUGUGCCCACGAUGGGAUUAGCUAGUAGGUGGGGUAACGGG
rnacentral:rRNA from 1 species